AACGAACGCUGGCGGCAGGCCUAACACAUGCAAGUCGAGCGGAUCCUUCGGGAUUAGCGGCGGACGGGUGAGUAACGCGUGGGAAUAUGCCCUUCUCUACGGAAUAGCCUCGGGAAACUGGGAGUAAUACCGUAUACGCCCUACGGGGGAGAGAUUUAUCGGAGAAGGAUUAGCCCGCGUUGGAUUAGGUAGUUGGUGGGGUAAUGGCCUACCAAGCCUACGAUCCAUAGCUGGUUUGAGAGGAUGAUCAGCCACACUGGGACUGAGACACGGCCCAGACUCCUACGGGAGGAAGCAGUGGGGAAUCUUAGACAAUGGGGGAAACCCUGAUCUAGCCAUGCCGCGUGAGUGAUGAAGGCCUUAGGGUUGUAAAGCUCUUUCAGCUGGGAAGAUAAUGACGGUACCAGCAGAAGAAGCCCCGGCUAACUCCGUGCCAGCAGCCGCGGUAACAC
rnacentral:rRNA from 1 species